rnacentral:lncRNA from 1 species
GAUUUGAGAGAAACAACAGGCAUUACCCGCUUCUAAAAACAAACAAUUUAAUAUCAUGUCAGGACAUGAAAAUUUAGCAUAAAAAAUAGCUAAACUCAACAAUAUGUCAUGUUUUUCCCAAGCAUACUGCACUAAACUUGAGGAACAUCAAAUGGGAUUGCAACACUUAUUACUUACCAAGAUGUAAGCAUUACGAUUCACAGAUUUGAUGAUCCAACUAAUACACCGCAGGCAACCUUGUGAGGAAUUAUAUACCAUUCUUCCAACCCAGCUUUCUGGUGCUGAAUUAGCAACUUUAAGUUUACGCCGGAUUGCUUCAAGUAAAAACCUGAUAGACUCUAUAAAUGAAGACUUUCAGGUGCUGAAUUAGCAACUUUAAGUUUACGCCGGAGUGCUUCAAGUAGAAACCUGAUAGACUCUAUAAAUGAAACAAUCAGCGAACCAAGAGCAACAGAUCCAACGCUGUAACGUAUAAGCCGCUUCAUAGAGGACAGCACUGGGAGAAAUGAAAUUUCUGGCUGCACUUGCAAAAAUAGAAGCUAAUCAGUCACCAGAACAUACCCGAAAAAAUACUCUUGUAUUAAAUCAGGA